GCCUGAGUGGCGGAAUUGGUAGACGCAGCGGAUUCAAAAUCCGCCGGUAGUGAUACCGUGAGAGUUCGAGUCUCUCCUUAGGCACCA
rnacentral:tRNA from 1 species